rnacentral:rRNA from 1 species
GACAGAGGGGGCAAGCGUUGCUCGGAAUUACUGGGCGUAAAGGGCGCGUAGGCGGGAUGGCAAGUCGGUCGUGAAAUCCCUCGGCUCAACCGAGGAACGUCGAUCGAUACUGCUGUUCUUGAGGAUUGCAGAGGAGACUGGAAUUCCCGGUGUAGCGGUGAAAUGUGUAGAGAUCCGGAGGAACACCAGUGGCGAAGGCGACACGCUGGGCCGUACCUGACGCUAAAGCGCGACAGCAUGGGGAGCAAACAGG